rnacentral:rRNA from 1 species
GUUUGUUUGUAGUUAUAAAGAAUUUAGUCUGCCCCCUGAUGAAUGAAAUUAAAGGGCCGCAGUAUUCUAACUGUGCAAAGGUAGCAUAAUCAUUAGGUUUUUAAUUGGAAUCUUGUAUGAAUGGCUGGACAAAAGAAAAUCUUUCUUUAUAUUAAUUUUGAAUUUAACUUUUAAGUGAAAAGGCUUAAAUAUCCCAGGGGGACGAUAAGACCCUAUAAAACUUUACAUUGUAAUUGAGAUUUAGUUUAAUUUUAUAAUAAAAGUUUAAUUGGAUUAUUUGUUAUGUUGGGGAGACAAGGGUAAAUUUUUUAUUAACUGCUUUAAGAGUUUAACAGUUAUUAUUGUAUGUAAUAGAUCCUUUUUAAAGAUUAGUAAGUUAAGUUACUUUAGGGAUAACAGCGUAAUUUCUUUUAAGAGUACUUAUCGAAAAAGAAGAUUGCGACCUCGAUGUUGAAUUAAAAUAUCUAUAUAAUGGAGAAGUUAUAUAAGAAGGUCUGUUCGACCUUUAAAAUUUUACAUGAUUUGAGUUCAAACCGGCGUGAG